GAGAAUGCGCGGGUCGAGUGCUGUAGUUCGAUUUUUGCGUGUGUGCGUUGCUUGCGGCCUUUGUGCCUUUUUAUUCUUUGCUUACCUUUAUGAUAUAAAGACCUUAUUUCUUACAAGGAGGAAAAGACCGCUGACUUCAGAAACAGCGGGAACCCCAGCUCGUCCCCGGUAAGACGGCCGUGGCCUGUCAGCUGGAACGGUCCUGCCGGAUGGAUCGCUCUUUGAGAGCGUACACUCCCGCGUGCGCGACACCAGGCGGCCCCAUUCCCAGUUUACAGCUGAGGAAAUUAAGCUUCAAGUUGCCCAAGUUUAUAGAAUGAGUCAAUGGCAGAGGUUGAACUCAGAUGACAAAAUUGGGGUCUGGACGUGUGCAAGGACUUUUCCAAAGUCAGCUGGAAAGGAGCUGCUUAGCUGAGAGGUUCUGGCUCCAGAGUCUCCUGUGAAGUUGCAGUCAAGAUGUCUGCUGGGACCCCAGUCAUUUGAAGCCCUGUCUGGGGCAGGAGAAUCUAGGUCCAAAAUGGCCGUUGCAGGAGUCCUUAUCCACACCAUGUGGGACCUCUUCAUAGAUGUUCGAGUGUCCUCAUGGCAUGGCCACUGGCUUUCCCCAAAGUAAGCAGUCCAAAAGAGGGUAAGACAGAGCCCACACUGUCUUUUAUGAAUUAGCCUUAGAAGUCUAACACGGUUACUUCCACCACAUUCAUUAGUCGUUAGGUACAGCUCACAUUCAUGGGGAGGAAAAUCAGGGCCUGUCUUUAGAUAGGAGAUGUAUCAAAGAAUUUGUGGACAUAUUUUAAAAUCACAGCACUACUCUUGAUGUACUAAGUCAGUGACUCCCCCAGGAGUCUCACAGAGAAUUGACUCCUUGCCCACCUAUACUACCUUUGUGGGUAGAGACUCCAGUAGUGUGCUGGUUAAUGUUCAACCAGUGGCUUUCUAGAAAACAAAAUGUAUGGAUACAUAUAUAUGUUCUAAGUUUUACUGAUAUGAAGAAUGUGUAGCACA
rnacentral:lncRNA from 1 species